rnacentral:rRNA from 1 species
AGAGUUUGAUCCUGGCUCAGGACGAACGCUGGCGGCGCGCCUAACACAUGCAAGUCGAACGAGCGAGAGAGAGCUUGCUUUCUCGAGCGAGUGGCGAACGGGUGAGUAACGCGUGAGGAACCUGCCUCAAAGAGGGGGACAACAGUUGGAAACGACUGCUAAUACCGCAUAAGCCCACGACCCGGCAUCGGGUAGAGGGAAAAGGAGCAAUCCGCUUUGAGAUGGCCUCGCGUCCGAUUAGCUAGUUGGUGAGGUAACGGCCCACCAAGGCGACGAUCGGUAGCCGGACUGAGAGGUUGAACGGCCACAUUGGGACUGAGACACGGCCCAGACUCCUACGGGAGGCAGCAGUGGGGAAUAUUGCACAAUGGGGGAAACCCUGAUGCAGCGACGCCGCGUGGAGGAAGAAGGUCUUCGGAUUGUAAACUCCUGUUGUUGAGGAAGAUAAUGACGGUACUCAACAAGGAAGUGACGGCUAACUACGUGCCAGCAGCCGCGGUAAAACGUAGGUCACAAGCGUUGUCCGGAAUUACUGGGUGUAAAGGGAGCGCAGGCGGGAAGACAAGUUGGAAGUGAAAUCCAUGGGCUCAACCCAUGAACUGCUUUCAAAACUGUUUUUCUUGAGUAGUGCAGAGGUAGGCGGAAUUCCCGGUGUAGCGGUGGAAUGCGUAGAUAUCGGGAGGAACACCAGUGGCGAAGGCGGCCUACUGGGCACCAACUGACGCUGAGGCUCGAAAGUGUGGGUAGCAAACAGGAUUAGAUACCCUGGUAGUCCACACCGUAAACGAUGAUUACUAGGUGUUGGAGGAUUGACCCCUUCAGUGCCGCAGUUAACACAAUAAGUAAUCCACCUGGGGAGUACGACCGCAAGGUUGAAACUCAAAGGAAUUGACGGGGGCCCGCACAA